rnacentral:rRNA from 1 species
GCUAGUAAUGGCAGGUCAGCAUACUGCCGUGAAUACGUUCCCGGGCCUUGUACACACCGCCCGUCACACCAUGAGAGUUGGGAAUACCCGAAGCCUGUGAGCUAACUUAUAGAGGCAGCAGUCGAAGGUAGAAUCAAUGAUUGGGGUGAAGUCGUAACAAGGUAUC